GUCUACGGCCAUACCAGCCUGAAUGCACCCAAUCUUGUCUGAUCUCUGAAACUAAGCAGGGUCAGGCCUGGUUAGUACUUGGGUGGGAGAACACUAAAAAGUAUCUUGUGGCCAGGCA
ensembl:rRNA 5S_rRNA 5S ribosomal RNA